CGGUAAUUCCAGCUCCAAUAGCGUAUACUAUAGUUGUUGCAGUUAAAAAGCUCGUAGUUGGAUUUCUGCGGGGACGGAGCGGCCGGACGCAACUUGCGUCUCGAGCUAGCGCUUUCCCCGCAUCCUGCCGCGAACCGUGCUACCAUUAGUUUGGUGGCGCAGGGGAUCGGCUCGAUUACUUUGAGAAAAAUAGAGUGUUCAAAGCAGGCCACACGCCUUGAAUAAGUUAGCAUGGAAUAAUGACUAAGGACUUCGGUUCUAUUUUGUUGGUGUUCGGGACUGAAGUAAUGAUUGAUAGGGACAGUUGGGGCGGUCUGUAUUCCAAAGCGAGAGGUGAAAUUCUUAGACCUUCGGAAGACAAACAGCUGCGAAAGCGUUCCGCAAGGAUGUUCCCUUUGAUCAAGAACGAAAGUUGGGGGAUCGAAGACGAUCAGAUACCGUCGUAGUCUCAACUAUAAACUAUACCAGCUAGGGAUCGGCCAACGUUUAAUUAUUCGACUUGGUCGGCACCUUAUGAGAAAUCAAAGCAUCUGGGUUCCGGGGGGAGUAUGGCCGCAAGGCUGAAACUUAAAGGAAUUGACGGAAGGGCACCACCAGCCGUGGAGCCUGUGGCUUAAUUUGACUCAACACGGGAAAACUUACCAGGUCCAGACAUAGGAAGGAUUGACAGAUUGAUAGCUCUUUCUUGAUUCUGUGGGUGGUGGUGCAUGGCCGUUUUUAGUUGGUGGAGUGAUUUGUCUGCUUAAUUGCGUUAACGAACGAGACCCCAGCCUGCUAAAUAGCGCGGCCGAGCUUUGCUCGGUGCGAGCUUCUUAGAGGGACCAUGAUGCACGAUAGCACAAGGAAGUUUGGGGCAACAACAGGUCUGUGAUGCCCUUAGAUGUUCUGGGCCGCACACGGGCUACACUGGCGCCUGCAACGAGCAUAUCAGCUGGCCCGAGAGGGUCUUGGCUAAUCUUUUGAACCGGCGCCGUGCUUGGGAUUGACCUUUGCAAUUGUUGGUCAUGCAACGAGGAAUGCCUUGUAAACGCGAGUCAUCAGCUCGCGUUGAAUACGUCCCUGCCCUUUGUACACACCGCCCGUCGCUCCUACCGAUGAAUGUUCCGAUGAAAUUUUCGGAGAGCGCCAGAGAACGGGGCUCUGCCUUGCAGAUCUGGAGGCUCAAAGUCACUUAAAUCUGAACAUUUCGAGGAAGGAGAAGUCGUAACAAGGUAGCCG
rnacentral:rRNA from 1 species